rnacentral:rRNA from 1 species
CAGUCGCCACGGUAAUACGUAGGUGGCAAGCGUUGUCCGGAAUUAUUGGGCGUAAAGGGCUCGCAGGCGGCUUCUUAAGUCUGAUGUGAAAGCCCCCGGCUCAACCGGGGAGGGUCAUUGGAAACUGGGAAACUUGAGUGCAGAAGAGGAGAGUGGAAUUCCACGUGUAGCGGUGAAAUGCGUAGAGAUGUGGAGGAACACCAGUGGCGAAGGCGACUCUCUGGUCUGUAACUGACGCUGAGGAGCGAAAGCGUGGGGAGCGAACAGGAUUAGAUACCCGUGUAGUCCCUGUCUCUUAUAC